rnacentral:rRNA from 1 species
GACAGAGGUCCCGAGCGUUAGGCGGAAUCACUGGGCUUAAAGCGUGUGUAGGCGGAUGCCUAAGUACCUUGUGAAAUCCCACGGCUCACCCGUGGAACUGCUUGGUAUACUGGGUGUCUUGAGCCACUUAGGGGCUACCGGAACAAAUGGUGGAGCGGUGAAAUGCGUAGAUAUCAUUUGGAACGCCAAUGGUGAAAACAGGUAGCUGGGAGUGUGCUGACGCUGAGACACGAAAGCCAGGGGAGCGAACGGG